AUCAAUGUAUUAACCUAUUUAUUUGAAAUAUAAGUGUUACCGGUUGUAGUCAAGAAGGUAUUGUAAUUUACGAUGUAUCCAAUUUCUGUUUGAAUUGUUUUAGAAUCAUGAACGAGGUGAACACAAGCAGCAGCCGAUGUGCUUGAGUUGCAGAUGGAGCAACUACGUUGUGAGAGGGCCACGGCUUCAGCCCUCACAAUGAUAGCUGAAGCAAUGAACAGACAGGCUGCAGUCAAUGAGAGGCUUCUUGAGCAGGGGCUCCUCAUAUGGAAAAAGGCUAAUGAAAGGAACAAUCAAGAUCAGACUUAAAGUAAAGAUUUUAGCGGCGACGCAGUUGCGCGACCUGUGAAGCUCUGGCUUCGCGACCGGCGUGGAGCGCGCGGUCCACGCGGCGCUGCUGCGGCUGCUGCACGGGAGGAUCCCGUCCCUGCGCAUGCGCCUGGCCUUCAAUGGCCUCACGCCCCUCUUCUUCCUCUUCUUCAUGCGUCAAUUCAAACAGAGGAGCACCUGUGAUUACUGAUUACCUAAGUUCCUAUAUAUAUAAUAAUAGUUUAAUAAUUGUUAACAAAAUAUUGUAUAUAUAAGUAUUAAUAAUUAUACAAAAGGCUAAAAGCAUUUUGUACCAGCCAACCUAAAGGAGAGAAUAUGAGAAAAAUAAUAAGACUUUAAUCUUUGAUUGCCAUUAUCUGUAGCUUUAUUAAGUGGUAAAGGGACCUAAUUACUACCUAUAUUUUUUAGUAUUUGUGAUAAUUCAUAGAAUUUAUUAGUUCUAUCAAUAAAUAAAAUAUACAUGCAUUACAAUGUGUUUAAUUCAUUAACUUACAAUUUGCACACUGAGGGAA